rnacentral:rRNA from 1 species
GAAUGCUGACAUAAGUAACGAUAAAGCGGGUGAAAAGCCCGCUCGCCGGAAGACCAAGGGUUCCUGUCCAACGUUAAUCGGGGCAGGGUGAGUCGACCCCUAAGGCGAGGCCGAAAGGCGUAGUCGAUGGGAAACAGGUUAAUAUUCCUGUACUUGGUGUUACUGCGAAGGGGGGACGGAGAAGGCUAUGUUGGCCGGGCGACGGUUGUCCCGGUUUAAGCGUGUAGGCUGAUUUUCCAGGCAAAUCCGGAAAAUCAAGGCUGAGGCGUGAUGACGAGGCACUACGGUGCUGAAGCAACAAAUGCCCUGCUUCCAGGAAAAGCCUCUAAGCAUCAGGUAACAUCAAAUCGUACCCCAAACCGACACAGGUGGUCAGGUAGAGAAUACCAAGGCGCUUGAGAGAACUCGGGUGAAGGAACUAGGCAAAAUGGUGCCGUAACUUCGGGAGAAGGCACGCUGAUAUGUAGGUGAAGCGACUUGCUCGUGGAGCUGAAAUCAGUCGAAGAUACCAGCUGGCUGCAACUGUUUAUUAAAAACACAGCACUGUGCAAACACGAAAGUGGACGUAUACGGUGUGACGCCUGCCCGGUGCCGGAAGGUUAAUUGAUGGGGUUAGCGGUAACGCGAAGCUCUUGAUCGAAGCCCCGGUAAACGGCGGCCGUAACUAUAACGGUCCUAAGGUAGCGAAAUUCCUUGUCGGGUAAGUUCCGACCUGCACGAAUGGCGUAAUGAUGGCCAGGCUGUCUCCACCCGAGACUCAGUGAAAUUGAACUCGCUGUGAAGAUGCAGUGUACCCGCGGCAAGACGGAAAGACCCCGUGAACCUUUACUAUAGCUUGACACUGAACAUUGAGCCUUGAUGUGUAGGAUAGGUGGGAGGCUUUGAAGUGUGGACGCCAGUCUGCAUGGAGCCGACCUUGAAAUACCACCCUUUAAUGUUUGAUGUUCUAACGUUGGCCCGUUAUCCGGGUUGCGGACAGUGUCUGGUGGGUAGUUUGACUGGGGCGGUCUCCUCCUAAAGAGUAACGGAGGAGCACGAAGGUUGGCUAAUCCUGGUCGGACAUCAGGAGGUUAGUGCAAUGGCAUAAGCCAGCUUGACUGCGAGCGUGACGGCGCGAGCAGGUGCGAAAGCAGGUCAUAGUGAUCCGGUGGUUCUGAAUGGAAGGGCCAUCGCUCAACGGAUAAAAGGUACUCCGGGGAUAACAGGCUGAUACCGCCCAAGAGUUCAUAUCGACGGCGGUGUUUGGCACCUCGAUGUCGGCUCAUCACAUCCUGGGGCUGAAGUAGGUCCCAAGGGUAUGGCUGUUCGCCAUUUAAAGUGGUACGCGAGCUGGGUUUAGAACGUCGUGAGACAGUUCGGUCCCUAUCUGCCGUGGGCGCUGGAGAACUGAGGGGGGCUGCUCCUAGUACGAGAGGACCGGAGUGGACGCAUCACUGGUGUUCGGGUUGUCAUGCCAAUGGCACUGCCCGGUAGCUAAAUGCGGAAGAGAUAAGUGCUGAAAGCAUCUAAGCACGAAACUUGCCCCGAGAUGAGUUCUCCCUGACUCCUUGAGAGUCCUGAAGGAACGUUGAAGACGACGACGUU